rnacentral:ncRNA from 1 species
ACUGAAAAAGGCAAACCCGAAGUAAUUCGGGGACGCAAAGCCGACGGGUCCCCUGUGCUGACGAAAGUUUCACAGGGAGAUGGCUGGGUUGCCAUAA